rnacentral:rRNA from 1 species
AUUGAACGCUGGCGGCAGGCCUAACACAUGCAAGUCGAGCGAGCGGCGGACGGGUGAGUAAUGUCUGGGAAACUGCCUGAUGGAGGGGGAUAACUACUGGAAACGGUAGCUAAUACCGCAUACCAUCAGAUGUGCCCAGAUGGGAUUAGCUAGUAGGUGGGGUAAUGGCUAACCUAGGCGACGAUCCCUAUCUGGUCUGAGAGGAUGACCAGCCACACUGGAACGGAGACACGGUCCAGACUCCUACGGGAGGCAGCAGUGGGGAAUAUUGCACAAGGGGCGCAAGCCUGAUGCAACCAUGCCGCGUGUGGGAAGGAGGCCUUCGUGUUGUAAAGGACUUUCAGCGGGGAGGCGUUACCCGCAGAAUAAGCACCGGCUAACUCCGUGCCAGCAGCCGCGGUAAUUC